rfam:Cavia porcellus supercont2_29 genomic scaffold, whole genome shotgun sequence.
UGGCACCCCAAUGUGGGACUCAAGAACAGGGGACUUCGUGAAGGACUCUGUUCAUGAGCCCAAAGUAGAAAAAAGAAAAGGAAAUAGAGGACCUGGUGAUGUGGGAGCCUGCCAUGCCGCUGAACCUCGGUAAGUGAACAGCGAUUAUGGGACAAGAAAUGAGCCAGCAUGAGAGUUUUGUUGAAAGUUUAGGAAAGGCUUUAAAGGCACGAGGAGUAAAGAUUAAAAUUAAGCAGUUAUGUCAAUAUUUUGAUUUUAUAAAGAAAGUUUGUCCUU